rnacentral:rRNA from 1 species
UACGUAGGGGGCGAGCGUUGUCCGGAUUUAUUGGGCGUAAAGGGCUCGCAGGUGGCCGCGUGCGUCGUGCGUGAAAUACCCCGGCUCAACUGGGGAGGGUCGUGCGAUACGGCGAGGCUAGAGGCCAGUAGGGGGAUGUGGAAUUCCGGGUGUAGUGGUGGAAUGCGUAGAGAUCCGGAGGAACACCAGCGGCGAAGGCGGCAUCCUGGACUGGUCCUGACACUCAGGAGCGAAAGCGUGGGGAGCGAUC